rnacentral:rRNA from 1 species
UGAGGAAUAUUGCGCAAUGGGCGAAAGCCUGACGCAGCGACGCCGCGUGGAGGAUGAAGGUCUUAGGAUUGUAAACUUCUGUUAAGUGGGAAGAAAUUACCGAGAGUAAUAUGCUCGGGAGAUGACAGUACCAUUAGAGAAAGCACCGGCUAACUUCGUGCCAGCAGCCGCGGUAAUACGAAGGGUGCAAGCGUUAUUCGGAUUUAUUGGGCGUAAAGGGUGCGUAGGCGGCGUAUUAAGUCAAUUGUUAAAUUCUUCGGCCUAACCGAAGGUCAGCAGUAGAUACUGGUAUGCUAGAGGAUGGAAGAGAGAAGUGGAAUUCUUGGAGUAGCGGUAAAAUGCGUAGAUCUCAAGAGGAACACCGAUGGCGAAGGCAGCUUCUUGGUCCAUAUCUGACGCUCAAGCACGAAAGCGUGGGGAGCAAACA